CAGUGUACGGACACGCUCGUUGAUAGGAUUUCAGCGACAAAGGAAUGAACGGACACCUCUAGGAUGAGGCGGGAUUAAGUAUCAGGAUGAUACAAAGGACACCGCUCAAGGAACAAGUGAAGUUCGCUAACGUGGAUUGUUAGCCAUCAGGAUGAAUAGGACACCGCUAGGACGGCGAGGAUAGGAUUUUACUGAAGGAUUCAGUAACUAUUAUGGAAGAUGCAUGGAGCACCUUUUGUAGCCGGACUGCUGCGAGUAAGACUAUAGCCCCGAUACGCAAGUGUCGGGGCUUUUCUUGGUU
rnacentral:other from 1 species